GAUGAAGAACGUAGCGAAAUGCGAUAAGUAGUGUGAAUUGCAGAAUUCCGUGAAUCAUCGAAUCUUUGAACGCACAUUGCGCCUUCUGGUAUUCCGGAAGGCAUGCCUGUUCGAGAGUCAUUAACAACCGUUUCGAUCCCUUUCUUUCAGAAAUUACAAAGAGGAAAAGGGUUUGGUUAUGGUGGAGGAGGGAAAGGGAGCGUUUAGCCUGUAAAAAAAGAGGCUGUGUUCCGCCUCCCCCCCAAAAUUGUACAGGCGGUCGUGUGCGCCCACGCAUCGAGGUGUUGUAAAAGCUGCCACGGCACUUUUCACCUGUGCAGUGCGAGAUUGGCCAGCCGGUUUAAAACCCCCUCCAAACAAUCAACGGUUGACCUCGGAUCAGGUAGGGAUACCCGCUGAACUUAAGCAUAUCAAUAAGCGGAGGA
rnacentral:misc_RNA from 1 species